rnacentral:rRNA from 1 species
AGUGAACGCUGGCGGUAGGCCUAACACAUGCAAGUCGAACGGCAGCACAGUAAGAGCUUGCUCUUACGGGUGGCGAGUGGCGGACGAGUGAGGAAUACAUCGGAAUCUACUUUUUCGUGGGGGAUAACGUAGGGAAACUCACGCUAAUACCGCAUACGACCUACGGGUGAAAGCAGGGGAUCUUCGGACCUUGCGCGAUUGAAUGAGCCGAUGUCGGAUUAGCUAGUUGGCGGGGUAAAGGCCCACCAAGGCGACGAUCCGUAGCUGGUCUGAGAGGAUGAUCAGCCACACUGGAACUGAGACACGGUCCAGACUCCUACGGGAGGCAGCAGUGGGGAAUAUUGGACAAUGGGCGCAAGCCUGAUCCAGCCAUACCGCGUGGGUGAAGAAGGCCUUCGGGUUGUAAAGCCCUUUUGUUGGGAAAGAAAAGCAGCAGGUUAAUACCCCGCUGUUCUGACGGUACCCAAAGAAUAAGCACCGGCUAACUUCGUG